GAAUCUUCCACAAUGGACGAAAGUCUGAUGGAGCAAUGCCGCGUGAGUGAAGAAGGUUUUCGGAUCGUAAAACUCUGUUGUGAGGGAAGAACAAGUACGAGAGUAACUGCUCGUACCUUGACGGUACCUCAUUAGAAAGCGACGGCUAACUACGUGCCAGCCGCCGCGGUAAUACGUAGGUGACAAGCGUUGUCCGGAAUUAUGUGGCGUAAAGCGCGCGCAGGGGGUCCUUUAAGUCUGAUGUGAAAUCCCACGGCUCAACCGUGGAAGGGCAUUGGAAACUGGGGGACUUGAGUACAGAAGAGGAAAGCGGAAUUCCAAGUGUAGCGGUGAAAUGCGUAGAGAUUUGGAGGAACACCAGUGGCGAAGGCGGCUUUCUGGUCUGUAACUGACGCUGAGGCGCGAAAGCGUGGGGAGCAAACA
rnacentral:rRNA from 1 species